AUUGAACGCUGGCGGCAGGCCUAACACAUGCAAGUCGAACGCGUGGCGGGCGGGUGAGUAAUUUCUGGGAAACCGCCUGAUGGAGGGGGAUAACUACUGGACACGGUAGAUAACACCGCAUCCGAUCGGCGGUGCCCAGAUGGGAGUAGCUAGUGGGUGGGGUAAAGGCUCACCUAGGCGACGAUCCCUAGCUGGGCUGAGAGGAUGACCAGCCACACUGGAACUGAGACACGGUCCAGACUCCUACGGGAGGCAGCAGUGGGGAAUAUUGCACAAUGGGCGCAAGCAUGAUGCAGCCAUGCCGCGUGUAUGAAGAAGGCCCUCGGGUUGUAAAGUACUUUCAGCGGGGAGGCGUUACCCGCAGAAGAAGCACCGGCUAACUCCGUGCCAGCAGCCGCGGUAAUAC
rnacentral:rRNA from 1 species